AAAACAUUUUAUAGAAAUGUCAGGAGUAAUUGUGGAGUUCGCCAGCAGGGGUAAUAUGGCGCUUAUCGUACUCCAGGGGGCUUUGCGUCAGUUCGGUCCGCUUUGCGGUUUUCCUCUUUCUGCUGAGCGAAAUGAGAAAACGGAUGCAGAGUUUGCCCUAUCUGAUUUAUUUCUCCUGUUUGCAAGGUGUACCAAGAAUUCAGCCCGGUAGUUGGGAAGAACUUAAACAGGAGUUUUAUGGCUCUUGAUCAUCACAGUCCACAGUUGAUUCAGAUCUUCGGGGCAAAGAGAGGUCUCACAGUGCAGUGAUCUUCAACAAACCAAGACGUUGCUGACAUGAGAUGUGCUGUUGUAUGGGGGCUUCCAGUAAUACUUGGUGAUGAACCAACUGAGUUCUUCAAAGCAUGUUUUGCUUACUGCUGAUGAGGAUUCAUACCAACAUGUUAAAGUUGGAAUCCUAAGCAAAGUAAGUGAAGAUGUUCCCCUGUCCUUUCACCUCCAUCCAUCCUCUGUAGGAAUCAUCUUGGAGGGAAAUGUUGCAAUGGACAAUUUGGAAAACCUGACUCAGGCCAUGUGCCUGGUGUUUGGGUUGACUUAUGCCCUGCAUCUUGACUAUCAAAAGUGCAUGACAAAGACCUUCCAUUUUAUUCGGCAGGUGAUGUUAUGUUUGGGUAAGAAGGCAAAAAAAAAAGGCUGAGUUUUAGCACUGUCAGCUUGCUAUUUAAAACAUACAUGUCUCAAUUUUAUGUACACUGUACAUGUUAAGAGUCUAACAAAUGUUUACACCUGGCAUAGUUAUACAAUACCAGAAUACAUAUUAUGCCUGUUCAGAGUUUUGGAAAUGUUUAUGCAGUAUUCAGUGUACAAAUAUAUAUUUGGCCUAUUCAGGGUCUGUCAAGUAUGUAAUAAUGCAAUGUAGAAGAAAAAACAUUUUGUUUUUGCUACUCUUUUAUAAAGUGAAUUAAAUUUAAAUAAAUCCCA